GACGCUGCCUCGCCAGGGGACAUGAGCCUGUCCCGGGCGCUCCCAGGGGCCGCCUGCGCCCGUCGUCGUCGAAGGGCCAGCCCGGCCGGCGGGGGGCGGCGCGGCGGGCGCUGAGGAGAGCGGGCCCGGCGCGGGUGUCACCUCACUGGGUUUCCCGCCUCCCUUAAGGACUGAGCCUCUGGAGUCAGUGACUCCCUGACAGGGAGAAGCUCAGAGCUGCUAUGUCCACUGUUGGGUUCCAUAACAACUCUAGGCCAGAUCUCCUGCCUUAUACAUGUGAUUGUCCAGAAAGAUGCUAUGAUCUGGAAAGGAAAACUUAGGUCCACAUCAUGAACUUAUAACUCUUUGUUUCAUUAGACCAUUCUAAACAGAUUCAGACCAGUCCAGUCUACCUUAGACUUAUGUGAGUUAUUUAAGACAGUUGUUUGGAAAAUUCUUGAGCCAUCUGGUUUUCUAGAAAAGA